UGAGAGACGAUCUACAUAUGCCAUGGUCCA
rnacentral:piRNA from 2 species